rnacentral:lncRNA from 1 species
AAUGAAUUUUCCUCCGCAUCUUGGAAGUUGGGGGAAAAAGAAAAUCGCUAUCUUUAGAGAUGUUGGUGUCCCACAUCCUGUUGGUCUCGUCUCUCCGGGACUGUGGCCCUCCAGGAGAAAUUCCCUUCUGAAGGAGAAGCAACAGCCUAGAGGACCUCUUAGAAAGGAACGACUUGUCUUUGGAAAAGACUCAGAAGAGCCCGUUAACUUGGCUUCCUCACUUCUGCUCAUCAUACGCGGGUGA